GAUGAACGCUGGCGGCGUGCCUAAUACAUGCAAGUCGAGCGAACGGACGAGAAGCUUGCUUCUCUGAUGUUAGCGGCGGACGGGUGAGUAACACGUGGAUAACCUACCUAUAAGACUGGGAUAACUUCGGGAAACCGGAGCUAAUGCCGGAUAAUAUUUUGAACCGCAUGGUUCAAAAGUGAAAGACGGUCUUGCUGCCACUUAUAGAUGGAUCCGCGCUGCAUUAGCUAGUUGGUAAGGUAACGGCUUACCAAGGCAACGAUGCAUAGCCGACCUGAGAGGGUGAUCGGCCACACUGGAACUGAGACACGGUCCAGACUCCUACGGGGGGCAGCAGUAGGGAAUCUUCCGCAAUGGGCGAAAGCCUGACGGAGCAACGCCGCGUGAGUGAUGAAGGUCUUCGGAUCGUAAAACUCUGUUAUUAGGGAAGAACAUAUGUGUAAGUAACUGUGCACAUCUUGACGGUACCUAAUCAGAAAGCCACGGCUAACUACGUG
rnacentral:rRNA from 1 species